rnacentral:piRNA from 1 species
UGUUUCCUAUUCGCACAAAAUCUGCCA